ACACCUGUUUUGGAUAUAGGACUUGAACAAAGGGACAACCAAAGCAUUUUCAGCAGUGUUACAAGAUCUACAGUAAGCGUCGGGUCUCAGUUUCCUUCCCAUCAGAAGAAAUUGAGAAAUGUGGUCGGCUUUGAUCUUUACCACGCUGCUGUACAACACUCCCGUGUAAACAAUAAAGAGUCGGUCUUUGUUGGGGGUGAGGGGAGGAAGACAGGAGGAGCUCCAGAGUUGCUGCUACUGUAGGAAAAUGCUGCCACUGCAAACGGGGAAGACGAUGCAGAUAAGAGGAGAGACCUUUCUACACUUCUCUAAAUGUAUCUGUUAUGCUAGGGGAUGUUAUUAUUAUUUGCAAAAAAUAAAUUAUAGAUGACCUGCAGUUGUCAGCAAGAAGAGUUUGGCGUUAUCCUUAAAUCCUUGUCGUCGUCGUCGUUGUUGUUGUUGUU